rnacentral:rRNA from 1 species
UACGUAGGUGGCGAGCGUUGUCCGGAUUUACUGGGCGUAAAGAGCGCGCAGGCGGCUGGUCAAGUCCGAUGUGAAAGCUCCCGGCUUAACUGGGAAAUUGCAUCGGAAACUGAUCGGCUGGAAGGUGGGAGAGGUAGCGGAAUUCCGGUGUAGUGGUGAAAUGCGUAGAUAUCGGGAGGAACACCAGUGGCGAAAGCGGCUACCUGGCCCAUUCUUGACGCUGAGGCGCGAAAGCUAGGGGAGCAAACGGGGAUUAAGAUAACCCCGGUAGUCGAGCAACACG